UAGAGUUUGAUCAUGGCUCAGAUUGAACGCUGGCGGCAGGCCUAACACAUGCAAGUCGAGCGGUAACAGGAAUUAGCUUGCUAAUUCGCUGACGAGCGGCGGACGGGUGAGUAAUGCCUGGGAAUAUGCCUUAGUGUGGGGGAUAACUAUUGGAAACGAUAGCUAAUACCGCAUAAUGUCUUCGGACCAAAGAGGGGGACCUUCUGGCCUCUCGCGCUAAGAUUAGCCCAGGUGAGAUUAGCUUGUUGGUGAGGUAAGAGCUCACCAAGGCGACGAUCUCUAGCUGGUCUGAGAGGAUGAUCAGCCACACUGGAACUGAGACACGGUCCAGACUCCUACGGGAGGCGGCAGUGGGGAAUAUUGCACAAUGGGCGCAAGCCUGAUGCAGCCAUGCCGCGUGUAUGAAGAAGGCCUUCGGGUUGUAAAGUACUUUCAGUGGGGAGGAAGGUGUUGUCGUUAAUAGCGGCGGCAUUUGACGUUACCCACAGAAGAAGCACCGGCUAACUCCGUGCCAGCAGCCGCGGUAAUACGGAGGGUGCGAGCGUUAAUCGGAAUUACUGGGCGUAAAGCGCAUGCAGGUGGUUCAUUAAGUCAGAUGUGAAAGCCCGGGGCUCAACCUCGGAACCGCAUUUGAAACUGGUGAACUAGAGUGCUGUAGAGGGGGGUAGAAUUUCA
rnacentral:rRNA from 1 species